GGUUAAAAGGGCGAUUUUAGUGUGCGCGUGGUUGCGGCGGCUGCACAUGCAUGCACGCACUUGCAUGGAAUGCCUGCUGCCUGCCUCUGUUGUGGAGCGGGGGAGGGGCGACGGGCGGUGGCAGCAGGACUAGCGAGCAGCAGCAGCAAGAGACUUACAAAAUCCUGCUUCGCUCUCUUUGUCUAACGCGUCAACGGUCAACCGCCGUUCAAAUCAAAGUUAUUAACGGACGCAGGACGCCGGACGCCGCCAGUAUGGGACAACACGGACGUCCCGCGGACUCGGACGGAUGGCCUGGAUCUUGCGGUUAACAGGCUUCAAGCCAUCCGCAGAUAUUUUGCACGACUGAAAAAGAUGUAACCGUUAAAGUUCUGCAGUUUGGGCUUCAAGAUCGGCGAUGCUGGCAUCGUAUAAUAAAAAAUUUUGUAGCUGUAAUAUGUGAUAUGGUUAAAAACUAAUAAAGUUUGCAUAUUUUUUACAUUUAA